UGGUCGGGUCACCGCUGCAUGAAGCAAGUAUAAAAAAAAUUAAGAAUUACAAAAAAAGAGAAAAAUUAGGGCCCUAAUAAAUGUGAUGUUGGCAAUUUAUCAGCAUUCAGCAUGGAAACAUAUUUAUUUACAUAGGAACAAUAAAUCUAUAGAUUUUUAAUUCGUCGAGCUCUCUCGUAUAUGUUUGAUUUAUUUAAAAAUUUGCUGUUUCAGGAUCUGUCGCCAGAAAUAACCGAGUGGAUUUGAUUCGGCCUCUCCCUGGAAAAUUACCCACAAACACACAGCAAGCAGGGAAAGGAGUCGAGGAAGGUGACGAGGUAGUAGACACAGGCAGAUGUGCCCUCUGAGUAGGCAGUGCCUCUCCUUGGGCACGUUUACCCGUCAGCAGUUGCUCUCUCUUUAUGUCAAUGGUCUCGUAUCCCAGCCUCAAAAUGAAGCUUGCAUUGAUGGCUAGAGACACCACCAACAAGUUCCUCACGGUGAACACAUGCCAGAACCUAGCCAUUUCUCGCAGGAAAAGAUAGGCAAGCAGAGCUGGAAGAACAGAUUAUUUUCAAGAAAACAGUAAGCAAAACAGAGCUUAUGAGAACUCUGCAGUAGAUGUGAGGAAUGAAGAACCAGGAGGGAGGAGUUUAUAGAAAAACCCAGAAGAUAGGUACAAAAGCUUCGCUUGACAAAUGGAUGGUGAUGGAUGGCGGAGGCGAAGUGUGCUGUUACGACUGUGGUUUCUGUGCAAUUUGGUACUGUGACUCUAUAGAGAAAGGAGCUGAAAUUUUGUCAACAGACAAAUUUACAAUUCAGCAAAAGCGAUCUAGACAAGGGAAAAGAGCAGAGAAAUUUUGGAAGGUGUUGAAUGACACUUACGAGACUUUGGAAGAACUCUAAAAACCCAAUGAAACCGAUGGAAAUCAGUAAGAUUCCUGGGUUUAUAGAGCCUUUUAGCGCAUGAACCUGCUGGUCUUUACUAGAAAGCAACAAAAGUGUUCAAAGUUUGCAGAAAAUCAGCAAGGAAAGGUUCAAGUUACUGAAACUGAAUAAUCAGCAGUACGAAUCGGUAUCAAGUAUUAAAACAAAAACACUGGCAUUUCUUGAUUUUGGACCAAAGAACGAUCGAAGGGACCAAAGAGGACAAAAACCCAGAAAUGGUAUGAUGAGGCUGGGCGCUAAUAUGCGCUGGUAUGUUUAUUGUCCGCUCUCGAAACAGGGAAAUUUUCUCAAGAAUCAAGAAAUCCCGCCCUCUAUUUUCCUGGAAAGUCUCAGUUUUCCUAGGCUAGAUCUCGAGAAAAAUAAAGGGCACUAUUGUUUUUCUUUUAUCGUGUAGAUUCACUGUUCCUUCCAUUGUUUUUCUUUUCGUAUAAAUAAUGGAUUUUGA